CGCCUCGCUGGAGUGUCUUUAGGGCCUAGGAGCAGAAAUGCUCCCGCGUCUUGCAGCAAUACUAGGAAAUGUUGGCGGUAAAGCUUUCAGAAAACCGGGUUCACUGUGGAUAAGAGAGCUAGACUGAAAGAUGAGACUUAUAACUGCAGCUUUACACUGCUCUUAAAACAGAAGAUGACACUGCUUUGGAGCUUUGUGAUCAAGGAGGAAAGGGAAAGCAGUAAAAUCUGAGAAUCAACAGCAUCUGAAGGUUUGAAAAAUUUGCCCAUUUAAAGACCCUCAUUAGAAAAAUUUUUGCACCUGUCUCUGAUGACAUGUCCAGAAACCACCAUCAAGUCAGUGAAGUUCAAUAUGUGAAAAUUAAACCUCAGGUGUGCAAAAUGCAUGGCUCAAGGAGCAAAUAGAUAUGUAUUUACCCAAAUUACAUGACUUGAGAAGGUGCAGUCAUCCAAAAAUGAAUUGCAUUUAUUAUCAAUUGCUAUUUGUUCACUAGUAUGAAGAUGCCAAAUUUCAUACACAGCAAGUAUUUUAUAUACUUUGAUCCUGUCAUAUGUAAACAUUAUUAUGGAUGUUUGUGAACCAAAAUUGUAUGCCAAAUAUAUAUCGCUGGAACGUUACCUGUGUAACAUCACAAACCAUUCUCAGGCUGGCUCAUUCAAGC